rnacentral:rRNA from 1 species
UCAAGGUUGACCUCGGAUCAGGUAGGGAUACCCGCUGAACUUAAGCAUAUCAAUAAGCGG